rnacentral:rRNA from 1 species
CGGUAAUUCCAGCUCCAAUAGCGUAUAUUAAAGUUGCUGCAGUUAAAAAGCUCGUAGUUGGAUCUCGGUAUCACUGGGGCCUGCCGAUACGAACCUUGCACUGGCUUUGCUUCGGCUUAUGCUAGUCUUGGUGAGUUUUGGUAAGGCAUCUGGUGUCACCUUUCAGCCAUGUCUGUGGUGAAAUACCCGCAGGUGUAGGCGAGUGUCAGGCGGUGCUUUGCAACAGUGAGGCCCGUCGGCUCGUUUGCAUGCCUUUGGAUGCCCUUCAAAAGGUGUCUGUGGGCGGAUGGCACGUUUACUUUGAACAAAUUUGAGUGCUCAAACCAGGCCGAUGUUGCCUGAAAAGUUUUGCAUGGAAUAAUGGAAUAGGACUUCGGUUCUAUUUCGUUGGUUUUCGGAUCSGAAGUAAUGAUCAAAAGAGACAGGCGGNGACNUUUGUAUGGCUGCGCUAGAGGUGAAAUUCAUGGACCGUAKCCAGACAAACUAAAGCGAAAGCAUUCGUCAAGCAUGUUUUCAUUGGCCAUGAGCCAAAGU